GUGUGAUUUACAAAUUUUCGACUUUUUCGUUUGAGCAUAUUUCGCUCAAGAAUAUCGUGUUUUUUUAUCAUAUUUGGUUCUGGAUAAGUGACUCCGAAUCCUGCCGAAGGCUUAUUGAUCUCAGGUAUGAAAUAUUACUGUUUAUAUCGUAUAAUUAUAACGUACAUCGACCGUAUUUACUCAUUUUAUCUUGUGGCUGUUAUAGCCUGUCUGCUAUUGCUAAAUUUGAAUUUGCGCGCGAGAGGUUUUAUAUAUUGAAUUAUUUCAUUUCAAUUCCGUCAAAUAUUAGUUAAAAUCAACAAUUCAAAUUUUGAAUAAACACAUAGUAAAUACUGGGUUACACUUGCCACUUGGUUGACAAAACUGAAGAAAGCAUGUUUGAACCCACAUAGUAUAAUUAUUAUAAAACAAUAUGUGAAUAUGAAUAAUAUUUACUUGCUGAUUGCUUCAAGCCUAUUAUUAGCCAAAACAUGAAAAUUAUUUGAGAGUAUUAAACUUACAAUUACAAUGUUAUCUAUCUGAAUCAUAAAAUUGUUAACUCAAUAUAUAGAAUUGAUUAUAAUAUUAGCUUAUCAGUUCAGUGCAUAUUUCUUGGUUUAUAGCAUGUAAAUGGAUUGACUUUAAAUUAAUAUUUAACCCAUUGGCAUUGAGCUGGAAUGUGCCCGAGUGCGCCCUACUUUUUUUCACAGGUCUGUCUAACGCCAGUGUCUUCACUCAUGUCUAACCCUGCAUAUAUGUGUGAUAUAUUGUGCCUGUUUAUGUGAUAACAUUUGGCAUGGCUGGACAGGAGGUUUUAAUCCAGGAUGGUGUGUUUAAUAUAUAGACGGAAUACACCCCACCUCUCCGCCUGGCAGGGAUGAUAGAGUGCUUGUAUAAGAAUUUCUCGUCCUGGCAGAUGCAAUCCCGGCAACAAAUAAUGGGAUCCUGCCUAGGCCAGAAAGAAGUAGAAUAAUUCACUUUACCGUAAACAAUCGAUAGAGUUCAUAUUGCAAGCUAGAUGAGAUGGGGUGUUAACGGGAUAUUACACUAGGCCGUACAUUGCAUAAGCUGCAUUGUGCCACAACUUUAUUGUUUUACUCCGUAUAAUGUCAGAUGAUUUUACCUGUCAGUGCCAUCACUCAACAGGUUACUGAAACAAGUAGCACUUAUCUCACAUACAACUGAGGUUAAAUCAUAACCAUAUGAAUGUUUUCUGGAAUAUGAGGCAAUAGCAUAUUAAAUCACAAAUACCAACACCAUCGCUGUUACAUUUUAUACCAAUCUAAUGGAUUUUGCUGCAAAAAUUCUUUCUCAUGUUAUAAACUCUAUCCUACAUAAUAGAAUGAAUACAAAUAAAUUACUCAUUUCCUUUCAUGGGAAAAUUUGAGUCAUUAUGGUCAAUUUGAGUUCGAGAAAUUAUGGUCCCACAGUCAAAAUGUCAAAUUUUAACCCAUGAAGUUGCAUCGCACCCUUUAUUGUAUUCCUGUCUAAUGCCAGACAAUUUUAUUUGUGAGUGGGAGAGUGAUGGUGGUUAAUUGGUUAAGGAUGCCAAGUUAUAUCAUUAUGCUUUCAGUAAGUAAUACAGUUGUAAUUUAACACUUGCCCGGGGCAAGUGAAUAUCAUUGUCACAAAAAGCUGGGCAUCUUCAAGUUUAUGUUUUCAUUGCCAGAUAAAUUUUUUAUGCAGUGCAUGUUGUACUUGUGCAUGGAUUCAAAUUUUGUUUUUCUGUGGGCCACAGCUAGUCUGAAGCAGUAUAACAUAGCCAUCUAGAGCAGUGGAAGAAUGUGUCGACAUGUUGUCCCCUUAAUUUAUAGCCCCUACCUGGGUACCCCAGUCGCCAUUGUCUCAUGGCAAGUGAAUUUUAUUCACGGCAACUAAUUUUCAUAUCCAACUUGGCAAGUUGAACUUGCCCUGAUGACAAAUGGUCAAAAAGGUAUUUAAGUUAUACCACUGACUACUGAGUAAGGUAUAUAUGAGCUACAGUAUCAUGGUUAUAAAAACUCUGGAAUAAGGUAUGCAGUUAUUUUCAAAAAAUUUACAUUAUCACUCAUCAAUAUGUCUGCAGGUUGUUGAAGAAGGAGUCUCAAUCAAUCCAAAGAGGAGCCUCAAUCAAUCCAAAGAAGCAGAAGAAAGUGCAUACAUGAGGAAUUGUGAAAAGCAGCAGCUGAUUGACCAAUUGGA